CAAUGGUACAAAAUGUACCUAUGGGUAGAGUACCAGUCUGAUGGGCACUGAAGGCACCAUGCCUGGUUGAGCAGCGCAAGCACUACUGGCGUUUGUCUCUCGGAUCGUUUAUUAUAUACCUUUUGGUUGGUAGGUGCGAAUUACCUCACGCGCGAAUAACGAGCGGUACCGCCAGUAUUCGCGCGACAUUUGUAAACAACUUUGCACCAAGUAAACAAGGCUUUAAAAAGUAUUACAAACGCUGGAAAAGGAUGAAUUAUUGGUUGGGAAUUACUUUGGAGAUGAUGCCAAGUGUAUUUCGAGUUACAUCAGUUGAAUAACAAUGCCAGACGGCCAUUUGUUAUAACGAUGGGAUUAAUCAAUGGAGGAAAUUCGGUCCAUCCGUCAUCACUUCCUGGAUUCACUGAAAUGGAAAAGUCACGACAGGGACGAAUCACAAAUCUGCAAAUCUGCACACCACAAGUAUUCUGAUUUCAUCCAAAUCACAUUUUUAUACAGUUAACACAGUUACAUAAUAUAUUCCUUCAAAAUGUCCAAAAGGUCCAGCACACGUGACGACACAUCCAUUUGUUACGAAUUCAGCAUCACGGGGAAAUGGUCAGGAUACAUAUCCGGAAGUACAUCACUUGGCCUGGAAGGAUUCCUCAAGGUUGGGCUAUAUCUGAUGCCUUUGAUGGAGAAGGAGGAUUGGAAACGGGAGUGGCCAUCCUAUCAUCCUCCAAGUUAUUGGGUGAAGAUGACCGGGACCUACAAGUUACUUCAAAACUUUCUUCAAAUUCCAUGUUGUACAAAAAAAUGGACAAUUUCAAUAAAAUGUAUUGAAUUAAUAAAAUUGUACCUAAGU